rnacentral:rRNA from 1 species
UACCAGCACCCCGAGUGGUCGGGACGUUUAUUGGGCCUAAAGCAUCCGUAGCCGGUUCUACAAGUCUUCCGUUAAAUCCAGCUGCUUAACAGAUGGGCUGCGGAAGAUACUAUGGAGCUAGGAGGCGGGAGAGGCAAGCGGUACUCGAUGGGUAGGGGUAAAAAUCCGUUGAUCCAUUGAAGACCACCAGUGGCGAAGGCGGCUUGCCAGAACGCGCUCGACGGUGAGGGAUGAAAGCUGGGGGGAGCAAACCGG